UACGUAGGCAGCAAGCGUUGUUCGGAUUUACUGGGCGUAAAGGGUGCGUAGGCGGUUGUUUAAGUUUGGUGUGAAAUCUCCCGGCUCAACUGGGAGGGUGCGCCGAAUACUGAAUGACUAGAGUGCGGGAGAGGAUAGUGGAAUUCCUGGUGUAGCGGUGAAAUGCGUAGAUAUCAGGAGGAACACCGGUGGUGUAGACGGCUAUCUGGACCGUAACUGACGCUGAGGCACGAAAGCGUGGGUAGCAAACAGG
rnacentral:rRNA from 1 species